UCAGUCGGCCGGGCGGCCGCUCCCGUUCGCGGGGGAGGAAAGUCCGGGCUCCAUGGAAUGACGGUGCCGGGUAACGCCCGGCGAGGGCGACCUCAGGGAAAGUGCCACAGAGAACGAACCGCCGCGUCGGUUCGCCCCAUCGACGACAGGGGAUCGAGUGCCUCUGUCGGGGGCGUCGGCGCGGCAAGGGUGAAAAGGUGGGGUAAGAGCCCACCGCGGCGCCGGCAACGGGGCCGGCAUGGCAAACCCCACCGGGAGCAAAACCGAAUAGGGGCGACGCGGGGGCAACCCCAGUCUUUUCCAGACCAGUCGCCCGGGUUGGUUGCGCGAGGCGUCCGGCAACGGACGUCCCAGAUGAAUGGCCGCCGCGCGGGGGCAACUCCGCCGUACAGAACCCGGCUUACAGGCCGACUGACAUU
rnacentral:RNase_P_RNA from 1 species